CCCACCCUCUCAAGUCUUUCUUUUGUUAGGAGAUUUGGAUUGCUUUGAGGAAGUAUCAUUUUUUUAUGCUGCUCCUCAGAAAUUUAUAGGCAGUAUGGUCAAACCUGAACCAGGCGUAAUAAUUCUAUAAAAUCGUCUAAUGAAAGGAAAGCCUGUAUUAGUCUUUAACCAAAUUUUUUUUUUUUUAUUUU
rnacentral:misc_RNA from 1 species